rnacentral:rRNA from 1 species
AGAGUUUGAUCCUGGCUCAGAUUGAACGCUGGCGGUAUGCCUUACACAUGCAAGUCGAACGGUAGAGGGGCAACCCUUGAGAGUGGCGAACGGGUGAGUAAUACAUCGGAACGUGCCCAGUCGUGGGGGAUAACGUAGCGAAAGCUACGCUAAUACCGCAUACGACCCGAGGGUGAAAGCGGGGGACUCGCAAGAGCCUCGCGCGAUUGGAGCGGCCGAUGGCAGAUUAGGUAGUUGGUGGGGUAAAGGCCCACCAAGCCUGCGAUCUGUAGCUGGUCUGAGAGGACGACCAGCCACACUGGGACUGAGACACGGCCCAGACUCCUACGGGAGGCAGCAGUGGGGAAUUUUGGACAAUGGGCGAAAGCCUGAUCCAGCCAUACCGCGUGCGGGAAGAAGGCCUUCGGGUUGUAAACCGCUUUUGUCAGGGAAGAAAUCCUUUGGGUUAAUACCUCGGAGGGAUGACGGUACCUAAGAAA